AUUGAACGCUGGCGACAUGCUUUACACAUGCAAGUCGAACGGUAACAGGGAGCUUGCUCCGCUGACGAGUGGCGAACGGGUGAGUAAUGCGUCGGAACGUGCCGAGUAGUGGGGGAUAACGCAUCGAAAGGUGUGCUAAUACCGCACACGAACUGAGGUUGAAAGUGGGGGACCUUCGGGCCUCACGCUAUUCGAGCGGCCGACGUCUGAUUAGCUAGUUGGUGAGGUAAAGGCUCACCAAGGCGACGAUCAGUAGCGGGUCUGAGAGGAUGAUCCGCCACACUGGGACUGAGACACGGCCCAGACUCCUACGGGAGGCAGCAGUGGGGAAUUUUGGACAAUGGGCGCAAGCCUGAUCCAGCCAUGCCGCGUGUCUGAAGAAGGCCUUCGGGUUGUAAAGGACUUUUGUCCGGGAGCAAAUGCUGGUGGCUAACAUCCACCGGAGCUGAGAGUACCGGAAGAAUAAGCACCGGCUAACUACGUGCCAGCCGCCGCCGUAAGAC
rnacentral:rRNA from 1 species